AGAGUUUGAUCAUGGCUCAGGAUGAACGCUAGCUACAGGCUUAACACAUGCAAGUCGAGGGGAAACGACAUCGAAAGCUUGCUUUUGAUGGGCGUCGACCGGCGCACGGGUGAGUAACGCGUAUCCAACCUGCCCAUCACUUGGGGAUAACCUUGCGAAAGUAAGACUAAUACCCAAUGGCGUCUCUAGAAGACAUCUGAAAGAGAUUAAAGAUUUAUCGGUGAUGGAUGGGGAUGCGUCUGAUUAGCUUGUGGCGGGUAACGCCACAAGGCGACGAUCAGUAGGGGUUCUGAGAGGAAGGUCCCCCACAUUGGAACUGAGACACGGUCCAAAACUCCUACGGGAGGCA
rnacentral:rRNA from 1 species